GAUGAACGCUGGCGGCGUGCCUAAUACAUGCAAGUCGAGCGAACAGACGAGGAGCUUGCUCCUCUGACGUUAGCGGCGGACGGGUGAGUAACACGUGGAUAACCUACCUAUUAGACUGGGAUAACUUCGGGACACCGGAGCUAAUACCGGAUAAUAUAUUGAACCGCAUGGUUCAAUAGUGAAAGACGGUUUUGCUGUCACUUAUAGAUGGAUCCGCGCCGCAUUAGCUAGUUGGUAAGGUAACGGCUUACCAAGGCAACGAUGCGUAGCCGACCUGAGAGGGUGAUCGGCCACACUGGAACUGAGACACGGUCCAGACGCCUACGGGAGGCAGCAGUAGGGAAUCUUCCGCAAUGGGCGAAAGCUUGACGGAGCAACGCCGCGUGAGUGAUGAAGGUCUUCGGAGCGUAAAACUCUGUUAUUAGGGAAGAACAAAUGUGUAAGUAACUAUGCACGUCUUGACGGUACCUAAUCAGAAAGCCACGGCUAACUACGUG
rnacentral:rRNA from 1 species